AGAAACACAGAAGAGAGAGAGAAGAAGAAGGCUCGUCCACUCACGAAUAGCAUUAAAAUGCUGGAGCGAGUAUUAAAGGUAGGUUGUGAACCAACUCAACCUACCUGGUGAGAGUUGAUCCUCCCCAUAAUAUUAUCUUAUGAGGCCUUUGAUAGGUAAUCAGGUGAACUUCAAGGCUUGGAAUAUUUUGUCAGUUCUACAAUUUUGACACACAUCUUGCAUAUGCCAACUGAUGACUCUUUCCUACAAUGUCUUUGGUGUAUGCAAGGAAUACCUACUCAGCCUCCAAACUAUGAAAAGGAACGAGCCUACUUUCAAGAGGUUGAUUCCUUUGAACUUUUGGAGGAAAGCCCCUCACCAAAGAAAUCUGGUACAUGGGCUAUGGGCGUCCAAAGUGGUGAUGUAGCUAUACCACAUAUGUCGAUAGCACUAAGGAAUCAACCUCCUUCAUUAUAAAGCCUUCGGCUUCUCUGUCUAAGAUAUUACAAACUCCUGCAUUAUCAAGCCAAUCCAUUUGCAAGCGUGCCUACUACCUCAGUUGCAGGAUCGAAAGAGUUUGCUCCUGCACCUGCUUCAGGGACAUCUGAUUCUACCGGUUGUAUAAUUUUUGUUGGAACUUGUGGCACUAUUGGUUUGAAUGCACUCUUUUGUUUGAGCAACUUUUGCAAUUUUUUUUGAGGUGAAGAGAAGAGGAUAGGAGUGGAGAGUCUUUUAUGAUAUUUUGUUUCUAGACUUGUCAUUGCAGUACUCUAAUUAUUAUUAGAUUUCUUUGGAGAAUAAAUGAUAUUGAUUCUGUGAGUU